UAGUUGUCGAGCGUGAUCAUCUUUCUCUCGAUUAUUUCAUGUUCUUUGACCAUCGGAGUCACGUACGCGGACAGUAUACAUUCUCCCGUCUGCAUCAGAGAGGGAGAAGAAGCCGACCGGUUCGUGUUCCGGUGGGGUUUCAGGUGGCAUGCCCUAUUUGUUGUGUGUGGUGUCGACGGUCGUGUCUUUUGUCGUGGACGCAGGCACGUUUUGGAGUCGUGUUUGAACGUGUCAAACCCCGUCACCUUAUCUUCCGCGUCCUUACUUCCAUUUCUUUAUAUGCUCUCUCCUCUUCUCUCUGUCGCUUCUCUUUUCAUCUCUUGGGGACACCAACCACCAAAGAUUUAGCACAAGGAAACGCCCAGCUGAGUUGGGAUCUUGGAGAAGCUUGCUUUCUGUCUGGCUCCCUCGCCGCCGAUCCGGCGAUUGAUGACAACAGCGUCGCCGGGGCUCAACAGAAGGCUCUAGAGAGGAGGAGGAGGAAAGAACAGGAAGGAGCGGAUGUCUUCCCUCUUGCUGUCCAACGUGCUGCGGUACCACCGCGGCGAGCAGCAGGAGAAGGUGGAGGAGGAAGGAAAGGCGGUGGGGAAGAGUAAUGGGUUCCGUUUGGGUAGUAGAGAAGAGGCGGACGCGUCGUCGGACAGCUCCUCCAUCGGCGCCGCCUCAACUUUGUCGUCGGACAGGAACGGCUCAGACCAUGGCGGCGAGGAGGACGAGGAAGAGGUGGAGAGCAAGAGAAAAGAUGGGGCUUUGGGGUCCUUGGAUUCCUUGGAAGACUCACUUCCCAUAAAGUAUCCUUCUCUCUCUCUCUCUAUCCAUGAUCGAGCUGUUCUUGCUCAGAUUUAGGGAUGUUUCGAGUUGGAUCAGAGUGAAAUAUGAUGUCUCUCAACAUGAUCUAAAUCUUGCUCCGAAUUACUGCAGGCGAGGGUUAUCCAACUUCUUCUCGGGGAAGUCCAAAUCCUUCGCGAGCUUGUCAGACGUGGUCAACGCGAGCACCAACGACAUCGUGAAGCCCGAAAACCCCUUCAACAAGCGCAGGAGGGUCCUGAUGAUGAGCAAGAUGAGGCGAGCCUCCUGCAGCUCCCUCGUCUGCCCACCAUUGCCACCACUCUCGGCCCCAGCUCACACUGUGGCGGAAGCAGAGGAGGACGAAGAGGAGGAAGAAGACGAAGAAAAGGAGAAACAUGGUGGAAGAUCACCUCCCUCCAUGGGUCCCUUCCCCCGCCAUGGCAACAGCAGCAGCAUGAGGAGGAACAAGGCUUUCAGGUCUCCAAGAUCCUUCUCCCUCUCUGAUCUCCAACAUGUCUAACUGUAUGUAGUAAAUCAAACUCGAAGAAAUGGUACAUGUUAUUAAUGGAGAUUAAUAUAUUAAAUAGCUUUACAUGAUUUAUUUUUCCUCCCA
rnacentral:lncRNA from 1 species